GACGUAGGAGGCGAGCGUUGUCCGGAUUCAUUGGGCGUAAAGAGCACGCAGGCGGUUUGGCAAGUCGGAUGUGAAAACCCGAAGCUCAACUUCGGGCCUGCAUCCGAAACUGCCCGACUAGAGGUAGGUAGGGGAGAUCGGAAUUCCACGUGUAGCAGUGAAAUGCGUAGAUAUCUGGAGGAACACCGGUGGCGAAGGCGACAUCCUGGACCGGUAUUGACGCUGAGGCGCGAAAGCCAGGGGAGCAAACGGG
rnacentral:rRNA from 1 species